rnacentral:rRNA from 1 species
AGUGAACGCUGGCGGCGUGCCUAAUACAUGCAAGUCGAACGGAGUGGCGCACGGGUGAGUAAUAUAUAGCUAAUCUGCCCCUUGCUGGAGGACAACAGUUAGAAAUGACUGCUAAUACUCCAUAGCAAGGGAUGAGACGAUAUCGUAUCAGCUAGUCGGUGGGGUAACGGCCUACCGAGGCGAUGACGCGUAACUGGUCUGAGAGGAUGAUCAGCAACCUUGUACGUGAGGCACGGGCCAGACAUCUACGGCAGUGAGCAGUAGUCUAGAUUGGCCAAUGGGGGAAACCGUAGCGCGUCAACGGCUCGUAGAGGAUGACACUUUUCGAAGCAUAAACUCCUUUUGUUAGGGAAGCGGUACCUAACGAAUAAGCACCGGCUAACUCCGUGCCAGCCGCCGCGGUAAUUC